CCUUGAAAACCUAAAAGCCUUAGAAACUAGAAGAAAUCAAUGUUUAAUGAUGGAACUUGAAACAUUAUGACAAAGGAGAAGGAGCUGAAAGGAAUUUUUAGACAUCACUGAGUGCAACCAAUUCAUCUUCUGCAUGAGCAAACAUAGAAGGAGAGAGAGAAAUGACAGGUGUCACACUACAGCCCCAGAUUUCCUAACACAAACUCCAGGAAAAGAAUCAUAUUGACUCACCUAGUAAUCUACCAAGCCCUGUCAGAGGCUAUGGACCUUCCUAUUCCACUUUUCAACGCCUGUCAAAGAUGACAAAGAUGACAAACAAGUGGUAAGAUUCUAGAAAAGUCUACAGUUGUGAAGGGCCUUAAGUGUCUAUCUGAACAAUUUUAAUUUUAUUCUUUGUAUUCAGGUAAUUACAAUAUUCUUUCGUAUGGGGAAACGUCAUGAUUAACUUUGCUUUUUAGGAAGACAUCUGUACAACUGAAAACUAAAAUGCAAUGAGACUUGUGGUAAAGGUGUUAGUGAGAAGCUUUUCUAGUGUUCAAAUCACACAAGGGCUGAGAUAGGACUGGAACCCAGUGUUUUUCUGCCAUCUACUCCUAAGUAAUUUUAUGCAGAAAGCUGUCUAAAAUAUGAAGUGCAUGGAUCUCUUGAGAUUUUCUGCUUUGAUCUUUGCUUUUUUAUGCAGCUUCAUUUAGCACCAAUUUAUCAGUGGAAAAGGGGAUUUGAUGACUUCAUGUUCGUGGAUGGCGAUGUACCAUGCUUCCACACCGGAGGGAGGCAAAACCUCAAAACCUUGGCAUUUCUAUGCAUGAUUUUAACAGCUUGAGUUAUAUAAAUGCUUUUUGCUGUAGGAAAAAAAAAAAAAAAGCCAGGCAUCAACAAAAACACCUUCCACAAAAUGACUAGGUAAUAAAGAUUAAGAAUA
rnacentral:lncRNA from 10 species